AGCGAACGCUGGCGGCAGGCCUAACGCAUGCAAGUCGAACGGAUCCUUCGGGAUUAGUGGCGGACGGGUGAGUAACACGUGGGAACGUGCCCUUUGGUUCGGAACAACUCAGGGAAACUUGAGCUAAUACCGGAUGUGCCCUUCGGGGGAAAGAUUUAUCGCCAUUGGAGCGGCCCGCGUUGGAUUAGGUAGUUGGUGAG
rnacentral:rRNA from 1 species